CAGUCGCCACGGUAACACGGAGGGUGCAAGCGUUAAUCGGAAUUACUGGGCGUAAAGCGUGCGUAGGCGGUUCGUUAAGUCUGUUGUGAAAGCCCCGGGCUCAACCUGGGAAUGGCAAUGGAUACUGGCGAGCUAGAGUGUGUCAGAGGAUGGUGGAAUUCCCGGUGUAGCGGUGAAAUGCGUAGAGAUCGGGAGGAACAUCAGUGGCGAAGGCGGCCAUCUGGGACAACACUGACGCUGAGGCACGAAAGCGUGGGGAGCAAACAGGAUUAGAUACCCGUGUAGUCCCUGUCUCUUAUAC
rnacentral:rRNA from 1 species